rnacentral:rRNA from 1 species
GAUGAACGCUGGCGGCGUGCCUAACACAUGCAAGUCGAACGGAGUCCAGCCUUUAAGACCUUCGGGUCAAAGAGGGGAAGACUGAGUGGCGGACGGGUGGGUAACACGUGGGCAACCUGGCUCAUAGAGGGGGAUAACAGAGAGAAAUUUCUGCUAAUACCGCAUAAGCACACACUGCCGCAUGGCAGAGGGUGAAAAGAGAAUCGCUAUGAGAUGGACCCGCGUCUGAUUAGCCAGUUGGCAGGGUAAGAGCCUACCAAAGCGACGAUCAGUAGCCGAUCUGAGAGGAUGAACGGCCACAUUGGGACUGAGACACGGCCCAAACUCCUACGGGAGGCAGCAGUGGGGGAUAUUGCACAAUGGGGGGAACCCUGAUGCAGCGACGCCGCGUGAGUGAAGAAGUAUUUCGGUAUGUAAAGCUCUAUCAGCAGGGAAGAUAAUGACAGUACCUGAAUAAGAAGCCCCGGCUAACUACGUG